UACUCCAGGAACAUAUCAGGAAAAAUAUCACUUUGUAUUACCAAGUUGCUCAGUCAGAAUCAGAUCAAUAUUAAACAUGAAGUUCCUGAUUGCUUUAAUGGUCAUCAUGACCCUUGCCCCUGGUUUCUACUCAGCUCCAGCCCUUCAACAACAAUUCGGGUUCUACCCACCUGCACCUGGACCAGCACCAGUAUCUGCUUCUGGACCAAGUUUCUAUAGUGCCCAUGAAUUAUACCGACGUGGAAUCAUCUCCAAUACUCCAAUGGAUUACGCCUAUGGUAAUUUUGGCCCACAUUUUGCUCCAGCUGCAGCCCCAGCAUCAGUACCAAUCUACGCUGAUGGAACCCAAGCCUCACCUUUUGACAGACGCAGAGUAAACCCUGGUCCAUUUGCUUAUUCAAGUUAUUCCAGCGCCACCUAUACUCACGCCUUUGCUACUCCUCACUUUUUUAAUGCCCCAAAUGUCCCUCAUAAUAAUCCUAUUAAUUAAUAAGCAAAAAUAUAUAAAAAUAUAAAAAUAAAACUUUUAUAUAUAAAAAAAAGUUAAUUAAUUAAUAGCAAAAAAAUCGGUAGAUACACGUACAUAAAAUAAAAUUGACAAAAAUAAAA